rnacentral:lncRNA from 1 species
AUUCUAUUACAAUUCAAAACAAUUUCAAGAUUAUCUGAUGAAAUGAACAUGCUUGGAUUCCUUCAUCUGAAGAUUUUUUUGCUACUUCAAACCUAUCUAAUUUAUUGCACUCCCUUUUUGAAGAACGGAGGAAUCUUAGAAAAUAUCAAUGUAGUUUGAAAAAAUAUAUCUUUAUGUAAUAAAAUCUAUCAGGAGUUAUCUCCGAUAGAACUAGGAUUAAAACAAUUAUGUAAUUUCUCAAGGUCACAAUCCCACCCAAAAUAACUUUAUUUUUUGUCAAUAACAUGGUUUAUAAUCAUGUUACUUAGUGUGAAUGUGUAAUCAUGUUUUUAGUUUAAAUGUACUUUAAUCAUUCUCAUUCUAAUCAUUUACUGUGCUAUAUUUUGUAAUUAUUUUAUUGUAUAGCUCUAAUUUUG